UUGAAGUUUGAAAUGUCUACUUAUGUAAACAGAAACCAAUUGCCUGUUAUUUUCCUAGAGCACUCAGAUGUGUCAGAACUAGUUGGAACUUGGAAGAUUAAAAGAAAUGUUGUCACUGUGCUUAGUUUCUUGACCUCGGCACUAGAUGGAGGUGAGUGGUCAGCUUCACUCCCCUCCUGCUUUACCCACAAUAGAGAUUGCAGAACUGAUUUAUGACAUCAACUUCCACUCUUGAGCGAGAUUAAAAAUGGGAAUAUUCAGAGGACCCAGUAUGAGUGUACUCAGUGUCAGUGUGAAGGAAGAAAUAACAGGCAGUACGUACGUUUGGUGUUGAGCUACCAGACAUGCCAGAUACACAAGUAUAGCUUUGGUUGGCAGCAUUACAUUCAUAACAUCCGCCUGUAUAGAUGUACCAGCAGUAAAUUUAGAAACCUAUAAAAGCGCUGUCAGAAUACAGCAUCAGAUGCUAUUUGCUUGAUUUAAUUAAUUGAUAACCUGAUGUAUUUUGACAUUGAAAUAUCAUCAGGCUGUUUACUCAGAAUACGCUUGAAAGCUGUUCAAGGUUCUGGUAUGUUUCUGAGAACAGUGAUAGUAAAUUUUAGUGACAAUGUAUUCCAUCUAGGUGAUCUGCUAGAUUAAAUUUAUGAGGUCAGAAUUCUUGUACUCAAGAUCAUCUGAAUUCAGUGCAGAUAUUUUUACAUGACUUUCCCUUGCCUGUUGGCAGUGAUAGAACACAGUAUAUGCAAUGGAUAUCGGACAACUACCUUUGUCUGGGACCCAAUGAAGGUGUUCGUCCCCUCUGUCAGUUAAUCAAGACCAUUUUGAAAUUUUCUACACUUGAGAAGGACAGAGCAUAUGGCACAGAUGGGAGAGAUGAGAACUACAUAUAAAUUUUUUGCCAGAAGACCCAAGGUGAAGUAAACCACUUGGAUGACUGAGGCAUGGAUAGAAGAAUAAUAUUACAGUGAAUCUUAAAGAAAUAUAGUGGGAAGGCAUGGACUGGACUGAUUUGGCUGAGGACAGGUUCCAGUGACAGACUCCUGUGGAAACAGCAAUGAACAUUUGGGUUCCAUAAAAUGUGGGUAAUCUCUUGAGUAGCUUAGUGACUCUUAGAUUCUCAAGGACUCUGCUUAAUGAAAACAGAUAUUGGCAGCAUUCUGGAAGAAACCUGGAGCCCUUAAGUACUGAAAUUAUAUGCCAACCAUUGACCCAGCCCAAGAACAAGUGUUAGUUGGAACUUGGAAAUUUUGGUUCAUGGAAUGCUGUAUAUAAAGUUUAAAGUGUGUUACUUUUUGUGUUCUUGUUUGCUUAAAGACAUGUCCAUAAUAUAAUACACAUAUAUUUGACCGUGUCUUACAGCAGAGAGUGCAGCAUUGUGCAUUUAGCAUAUGUGGUGUUGUUAUGAUACUCGUAACCUGAACAGUAAGUUCAUGGAUAGCCAUCAUGACCUACGUGCAGCACACAGUGAGUUUACUAAAGCUCUAGAAGCAAGAGUAUAUGAUCCUGAAAUGAUGGAUCAGUGUAGAAAACGCAACCUAUCAAAUGAAAAUAGAAAUAACAUUAUGCUUUUGAAAUAGUAAAACUUAUUGAAAUGUAAUGAGCUGGCACUCCAAGAUUUUGUCCAAAUUCUAACAGAAUGGAAAAUUGGUUAUUGAGCUUGUAAAAAUCAGAACCUUUAGAACAUUAUUGCUGAUCAGUUCUUCUGAUAUUAAAUUUCUUGCUGCAGUUAAAUCCCAGUGUGAGGUUUUGCCGAGGGUGCGUGGAUUUGAACUCUGAAUUGAGGAAGACCUUCAUUGGCAGAAAAUAUGUACUACUCAGACUGUGGACUUCAGAUCAUUAGAAAUAAACAAAAUCUUAAACUGCCACACACAGAAUGGCUGUUCCUCUAUAUCUUCUUCAGAGCACUGAUUACUUUCAGAAGAAUAAGGUAUAGCACCAAUAGUUUUAGCCAGUUGUCCUGUGUAAUUCACUAUCAGUGGAGGUACAGCUCCAUACAUACUUCACCUUGGCACUAGAUGAAGAAUGUUGUGGCAAGAUGAAAAUGAUUUAUUGUGGCCAUUACAUCAAAUUUAACUAAUUGCACGCAGCAGACUGGUGGAGCACUGGGAUUCUCACAUGUGAGCUCUUAACAGGGAAUCAUCCUUUCAGUGUUGAUGGGAAAAGAAUAUACGAGGAGCGUCUAUGAUGCUGUAACAUUACGGCAAAACCCUGCAUCCCAAAUGGUAUAUUACCUGAGGUGUCAGAUUUUAUAUUAAAAUUGCUGGUGAGGGAUCCAGAGAAACGUUUGGGUGGAGGAGAGAGAGGUGCAGAAAAUGUAAAAAGGCACCCAUUCUUCAGAAAUAUUCUGUUUACUGAUGAUUCAGAGGAAGCUGGCAUUAAGAUUGUUGACUUCAGAUUUGCGGGACUGAAACAAGAUAAUCAGAGGAUGCCCACACCAUGCUUUACUUUGCAGUAUGCUGCACCUGAAGUGCUUGAAGAGGCAUUCAGCAAUGGCAGAGAUGGCUAUGAUGAAAAUUGUGACCUGUGGAGCCUGGGCGUGAUCCUGGUGAGUGCAUUUAUAGUAUUCCUGAUAGAGUAAAAAUGCAUUAAACAGGUGAGAUAAGAAAAACACUUAGAAGAGAAAGAGAAAUUUAGAACAUGACUUCAGAAUGCCAUAUGUAACAAUUUUGGGUUGCUCUCAAUGUUAUAACAAGAAGUGCAUUUUAAGAUGUCCAGUCACAUCCAUGCAGUGCCACAGGGGCAUAGGGGCAUACUUGUCACGGCCUUAUUACAUUGGGAACAGUAUUUGCAGAAAUUAAAAAUCUGUGUAUAUGCAUUCUUUUAACACUUUGAGUCCAUUGAUAUUUAAAUUAAACUCCCUCUACUGAAGGGUUUUAUGUAUCAUUAAGCAAUUCAUAACUUCUCUAAUUCUUUAUAUAAAAACCUGAAAUUUGGGCACACAAAAAUAUAAUCUUUCCUCAGGUGCCUUGCAAACAAAUAGACUUGUUAUGGUUGUAAAUCCUGAGGCUGCUACAGCAUAAUAAGUGUCCACAAAAGAAGACAAAAUAUUUUAAUAUAUUUUAAAAACUGCAGACUUUUCAUCAGCUGGGCUAAAUUCACUUAACACUCCCAACAAUUUAUCUUCAAGUUGCAAUUUUCAAAGCACUUUCCUAAACAGAGCCCCACAAUACAGAGGCAUAAUCUUCUUGUAGCUUUUCCUGUUUGGUGCUUGCCCAUGUCCUCACACACUUUGCAGGUUCACUGAGGUUGACCCACUCAUGUGUGUUGCUGAAAGUCUGUACAGAAAAUUAUAUUUUCUGUUAAGUCUGCCUGCAGAAGCACUCCUUGCCCAUUCCCAAAUAUCUUGCCAUGCACCACUGAGGCCUUCAGCAACCAUCUUGCAGAACAGCUUUAAAAGGAUGUUUUUUCUGUUUCUAUUGUGCAGUGUGUGGGCAUUUACAAUGCACAGAUAAGAGAUGAAACAGAACCUUCUUCUGCCUCGUUGCUGAUUCUGUCUGGAGUGAGCAAUAUGAACAUGCUAAUAUAUGAUCAGACUUGUUGACACCAAUUCUGUAUUUAUGUAGUCCAUAGGUCCAUAACUGCUGCAGGUUUUGCUUAUAGGUGCUGUCACCUGGGUGGCUAAGGGCAAUACCAAAAAUGUGAAUGUUUCUGGUGUCUUUCCAUUUUAUAGCCAAGGGGAGUUGUCUUUCGGAAGCAGGUGCUUCCCAUACCUUCAGUUUUUUUAAUGCAUGUUUAGGUAUCAUUUUACUAUUGGGCAUUACUGUGUCCAUAGAUAUGUCCACGGAUGACCAGAAAGCUUGGGGCUAGGAAACCAUCCAUAUACACAGUAUGCCCCUUGUUCAUCACUUGUACACAGAGCCUCUUUCCAACACUGAAUGUAGUACUGUGAUCGGAAUUAGUAAGAUGUGUGCCACCAGAAAUUUCAGUAUUAUGUUCAUAGCCAUUAUUUGCUUCACAUAGCUGAAAGAUCUUGAUUUCAUACUUACCGUCUUCUCCUUUCUGUACACCUGGAAGAAUAUGUACCCUUGAAAUGCAUAAAUUGCCUUAUUGAUGGUGAGUUCUCUCUCAGGUAUGUAUUUACUUACUCAUGGAGCUGAGCCCUUCUUGAGGAGCUGCCAAUUCUGCAGCUACUCAAGAAUUUUCCAGCA